GAUGAACGCUGGCGGCGUGCCUAAUACAUGCAAGUCGAGCGAACAGACGAGGAGCUUGCUCCUCUGACGUUAGCGGCGGACGGGUGAGUAACACGUGGAGAACCUACCUAUAAGACUGGGAUAACUUCGGGAAACCGGAGCUAAUACCGGAUAAUAUAUUGAACCGCAUGGUUCAAUAGUGAAAGACGGUUUUGCUGUCACUUAUAGAUGGAUCCGCGCCGCAUUAGCUAGUUGGUAAGGUAACGGCUUACCAAGGCAACGAUGCGUAGCCGACCUGAGAGGGUGAUCGGCCACACUGGAACUGAGACACGGUCCAGACUCCUACGGGAGGCAGCAGUAGGGAAUCUUCCGCAAUGGGCGAAAGCCUGACGGAGCAACGCCGCGUGAGUGAUGAAGGUCUUCGGAUCGUAAACCUCUGUUAUUAGGGAAGAACAAAUGUGUAAGUAACUAUGCACGUCUUGACGGUACCUACUCAGAAAGCCACGGCUAACUACGUG
rnacentral:rRNA from 1 species